CGCACAUUGCGCCCCUUGGUAUUCCGAAGGGCAUGCCUGUUCGAGCGUCAUUUCAACCCUCAAGCCCAGCUUGGUAUUGGACGCGGUCCCAGGACCCGUCCGCAACCACUCGGCGGUGCUGUGCGGCCUUAAGCGUAGCAAAAACCUCGCUUUGGGGGCUCGCGGCGGCGCCUGCCAGAGGAACCACCCAACUCCUAUAGUUUGACCUCGGAUCAGGUAGGGUUACCCGCUGAACUUAA
rnacentral:misc_RNA from 1 species